ACAAUGAAACACUGGUUACCGUAAAAUUACCGAAGUUAAGCAACGUCGAGCCUGGUCAGUAUCCUGAUGGGUGACCACUUGGGAAUACCAGGUGCUGUAA